GACGAACGCUGGCGGCGCGCCUAACACAUGCAAGUCGAACGGGACUAUCUCGGAAGAAGUUUUCGGAUGGAUUUUGGGAUAGUUUAGUGGCGGACGGGUGAGUAACACGUGAGCAACCUGCCUUUGAGAGGGGAAUAACGGCUGGAAACGGUCGCUAAUACCGCAUAACGUACGGAUGGGACAUCCUGUUUGUACCAAAGAUUUAUCGCUCGAAGAUGGGCUCGCGUCCGAUUAGGUAGUUGGUGAGGUAACGGCCCACCAAGCCGACGAUCGGUAGCCGGACUGAGAGGUUGAACGGCCACAUUGGGACUGAGACACGGCCCAG
rnacentral:rRNA from 1 species